GAAUCUCUGACCGCCUCGCCUCGUUCAUCUGAAAAACAAAACAUAGACCGCCUCGCCUCGUCGGGCGCUCUAGCAGCAGCCGGUCGCCGCCUCCGCCUCCUCCGCUAGCUGCCUCGGUUUCGCGUGCCGUGGUCCGCGUCCGGCGCCGUUGCGCUGCGGAGGCUGCGGAUGUGCCUUGUUUGUGUCACGGUGGGGCGCCGUUUUGGCCUCCUACUGUUGGCCGCGGCCGUUUGACGCUGACCCGCGAGGUGUUCGACGCAAUGCCGGGGCCUAGCAAGGCGAUGGAAUCGCGUGUUCCGCAUGCCAAGCUUCAGUGCCAUGGCCAAUGGAUGUUUGAGUGGGUGUUCUUUGCCGCUGAAAGGGGCCAUGCCGCAUGAUUAUGCAACUAUGCAGCGGGUGUCUCCGAAUCAGAAUAACGCGUGCGGAUUCGGAUCCGGGUUGACUGGCUAAAAGCGUGUGAGACGGAAAGGGCAUUAACUUUGCAGCAUGUAAGCGCUACAAACUUCAAUUAUGCUCACCUGUGCCGUUCCCUUAGAUUCGGGGCGUUUCUGUAUCGGAAUAACACGUGCGAAAUUGGAAACCAGGUAUGGCUGGUGCAAAACACGUGAGCCGGACAAGGCGAUAACUUGGCAGCCUGUAAGUGGUGCAAACUUUAAUUAUGCUCAUCAGUGCGUUCCGUUAGACUCUGUGCGUUUCCAUAACGGAAAACGCUUGUGAAACCAGAUCGAGGAUGAGUGGCACAAACCGAGUGAGCCAGAAAAGAGAAUAUUGGUGUCGGAAUAACGCGUGCGAAGCCGGAUCGGGGAUGAGUGGAGCAAAUCGCGUGAGCCGGAAAAGGCAUUAAUUUUGCACCCUGAUGUUUCCGUAUCAGAAUAUCACGUGCGAAGCCGGAUUGGGGAUGACUAGCGAAAAGCUUAUGAGCCGGAAAAGGCAUUAAGUUUUGUAGCAUGUAAGUGGUACAAGCUUUAAUUAUGCUCGACUGCGCUUAUCCGUUAGACUCUGGUAAUGUAACUCUUUGUCUGCUCUGCAAUAAUAGUGUCGUGUCGUAUACGAUGAAGUGUGGUUUUACACGGUUUUGUUUUCUUCUUCAUUGGUUGAGUAUGAAUUUGUUGCAUCUGUCCUGAUGGCUUAGCAUAUAAGGAUUUCCAUCAGGCUCUUUUGUUGCCAUGUAUUAGGAAAAAAAACUCGAGCACCCGUGGCAUUUUUUUUAAUUAGAAGAAACUACCAUGAGCAACACCCGGGUGGGCUGGGCAGGCACUCGUGCCUCUAACCAACUGAGUGGCACUCAGUUCUUGUAGCCAUGCAUAAGAAUGUCACUGUUCUAUGAAACUCGUUUUCAUGAUACAGUUGUAGCUCUAGAGUCAUCUAUGUGCACCAAAAUCUCUGAGCAAGUUGCAUGUACUGUGGUUGUGUUGGAUUUGUAUGCCUGACAUGACUGAUGUGAUGUAGACAUGUUGACAACCUUGAUACAGUACUAAAUAGCCUAUAAAGCUAAUGACUAAAUGCACAUUAAAGUUGGGUUCAGCAUGGGUAUGUAUUUAUUGUUUUUGCAGGGUGGCGCUUGCUGGUAUUCUGUACCAUAGCGAUGGCUUAACUCUGCCUUUGACCCGUCGUAUGGAGAGUAUGGAUAUGGAUGUCACAGAAAAGGAGCAAUGUUUCCAUAUUCUGUUCCAUGAUCAUCCUUAUAUAGUUAUUGACAUUUCAUAUUGUUUUUCUCUUGAAACUUUCCCGUGGAUCACUGCGUUAUAUACAGACGUUGUUAAAAAGAUAAAAAAGCAAAAAACUUAGUAUCACUCUCGUCAUUACUUUGCCUUGAUAAAAUCAUCAGAAAGAUGCCUUAAGUGACAUCUGACGUUUGCAAGGCCUUAAAUAUGCAAUUCGGUACAUUUUAGCUGCAGUUACAACGCUGUUAGACUACCUUUAAUUUAUGUUCCAUGGAUCUUUUGCUCACGACUCAGACGUUUUGGACACGUUUCUAAGGUUUUUUCUAUUGAAAGGUUUAAAAGCAUUGCAUGUUUGUUCUUUUUGUCUGUUAUGUACUAGUCUUAGGAGAAAUUGUGCUUCUCUAAAUUUAUUAUAUGGGUUCAAAGUAACGAACCACCUAUCUCUUAAUAGUAUGGUCAGACAAGAACAAUGAUAGACCAUCUCUCAAUUGAAUUGAGAUGAUAAGUGUUUGGAGGAGCUGGAUGCACAGAAAUGAAGUCAUUCUAGUCAAAUUGGACAAGGAUAAUAUAUGCGAACCAAAUUAUGUCCAUGCCACUGUAAAGUUCCUGAACUUUUGGUCUCAAAUCAUUGCGUGAUUAUGGUUUCCGGUAUUUCUUAUGCGUAUUUCUGGGGGGCCUCCAUUAUUCAACUACCAAUCAUUCCAUGCAGCUGAAAUAAAUACUAUAUAUUUUAUUUAUUAUAAGUAGAUUAGAAGGUCCACCUGUACUCAACUCAAAAUGAGUUGGUCUAGCAGUAGUUAAUAAAGGACAAUUGACUAACAGGCAAGGGUGGCAUAUGUGUAUUAUUUGUAUUAGCUUGCAGAUGUAUCAACCUGACCAAACAUUUGUAUGUAGCUAAAUCUGUAGAUCUCGGGUGUUAGUUUAAUGUUGUUUCAGACUUUUAGUUUCAAUUGGCUAUACUACUCUGUUUAAACCGAAGUUGUAAUUGUAAAGCUUGACCUUUUGAUGCAACUUACCAUUCAAUACAGUAAAACCCAUUAGCCAUGGGCAACGCCAUAUGCCUGCACAUUCUAAUCUGACACUAGUUCUCCAUGAACUCAAAUCGAGUUCAUGGAGUUUUGAUGGCUUCUUUCUCUGCAGAAAGCCACAAUCAGUGGAAGCUGCACAGAUAUUUGAUGCUAACUUUCAUGAUAGAAGCACUGAGGAAAAGGAACUCAGAAACCACUGUAAGCAUGAAUAAUUUCUAACUUGUAGUCUCAUACUCUUAUGUCGAUUUGUACAUGAAGUGCUUUUAAUAGUGGAAAUUUGAUAUGGUUAGUGCUCUAGAGCAACAAGCACUACGCAUCUAGAGUUCUAACAAACAUAGGUUACUGCUGAAGUAUGUAGACUACUCACCUUUGCUAAAAAGAUGAGCUUUCGAAUAAACUAAUUGUUUCAUGGGGAAACAUGCUAUCGAGAGUCACGGUAAACCUCAUGGUUUCUUUCACGAAUCCAAAGAUGUGACACGUGAUGAUCAGGAUCUCUUUAUGCCUUCAUUCAAAUGACAAAAGCAUUGUGUCUGCUGACUUUUGUUUGACCUGUCAUUUGGCGCUAUGAACAUUGGUCUUGGACAGUGGGACUAGAUAGUAUUUUUUUUCUACCCCUGAUAUUCUAGUUGUUUGAAGACAGUCAAAGUCUCUGGUAGUGGAGGACUAGUGUUGGAAGGUUUUCUUGUCUGUUCAACGAACAAUCAUCCGCGUGAAGGCUGAAACAUCACGUGUUGUGGCCAGAAGAGCACAUAUUCAAUGAUUCUGGGGGCAAACGGAAAAGUAGU